rnacentral:misc_RNA from 2 species
AACGCACAUUGCGCCCCUUGGUAUUCCGGGGGGCAUGCCUGUUCGAGCGUCAUUACAACCCUCAAGCUCUGCUUGGUCUUGGGCGUCACCGGUCCCCGGUGUGCCUUAAAAUCAGUGGCGGCGCCAUCUGGCUCUAAGCGUAGUACAUACUCUCGCUACAGACGUCCGGUGGAUGCUGGCCAGCAACCCCCAAUUUAUCAAGGUUGACCUCGGAUCAGGUAGGGAUACCCGCUGAACUUAA